rnacentral:rRNA from 1 species
UACGUAGGUGGCAAGCGUUGUCCGGAUUUACUGGGCGUAAAGAGCGCGCAGGCGGUCGUUCAAGUCGCGUGUGAAAACCCCCGGCUCAACUGGGGAGGGUCACGCGAUACUGAUCGACUCGAAGGCAGGAGAGGGAAGUGGAAUUCCCGGUGUAGUGGUGAAAUGCGUAGAUAUCGGGAGGAACACCAGUGGCGAAGGCGACUUCCUGGCCUGUUCUUGACGCUGAGGCGCGAAAGCUAGGGGAGCAAACGGG